CAUAUUUACACUCUUAUGAGGCCUAUUUUCACCGGGCUGAAAUUUGAAAAAAAAAUUUUUUUGAUUGUUUUUAAGUAAUUGUUCCGCCGGCGAAAUCCCACAAUUGGUAGCAGGUCAAUGUCGCAGCCGCGAGUGGAUAUUGAAUACUGCACGGUGUGCAACUCGAAGCCUCAGUGUCUGGAGUUAGCCAAGACGAUCCGUGAACAGAUACCGGAAGCGGACGUGGUGUGCCACAGUGGGAGACGCGGUUCUUUCGAGGUCCAGAUCAACGAUACUCUCGUACACUCGAAGCUUGCCUCGCUUGCUUUCCCCGAGUAUGCUGAGGUACUGGAGCGGGUACGAGAUGCCCAGCGGGGGCUACCGAUUCGGCCUGUCGCGCAGCAACCGAUCACUGACUGCGUGAUUCAAUAACGAGAUGAGCGAGUCAGCCCCGUGUGCUCUGAAUCGAUGCCCGUAAAAUGUAUAGAGCUGUACAGCCGUAGCGAUUAGCAUUCACUGCCGUGGAGUGUUGCUCACCAAUAAAAGUAGCAGCGCGUGAAAGGAGUGAGAGCGACGAUUGAUCGUUGCUUUACUAGACCAUCGCUUCCAUCAGCCUUCCACAGGAGUGCCCGAACGGGCUGCCUCACAGAAAGUGCAGCAAAGUUUGCAGCGUCAUGUA